UCAAGUCGAGCAGCCACCCUGGCGACGCCCCGGUACUCACUCUCCAAUCUCUUAUCGGCCGACGCCAACUAGAGCCGUGAGUGAUAAAGCGAGGCGCGAUCGGUCAGGCAAUAUAGCCGAUCGUCGCCCGCGGAUCAUCAUCAGUCACUGGUUUAUCGUAAAGGAGACCGCGUCGAUCGUCAACCCGAUAUAUUUUCCGCCAGACGAUCGACCUGAAGAAGAAGUUUAGUUCGAGGAAUUUCUGUGGUGAAAACCGUCUCACCAGUGAGGAAGAACAAGGCGUGGAAUAAUAACCGCACUGGAGUGCGAGGUGCCGCGACACCGUAAAUUGGUCGUGGUGGAGAGUGAGGUGGCGUCUACGAUCAGCAUGGAAAGCAUGGCCAUGCUGGAGUAGAUAGGAGUACUUGAGAUCGGCCUUCAUUUCCUGUUUCACAAGCUGAAUUCCAUCAUGGCUGGAGCCGUGGUGUGGAGCAGUGCGCUGCUGUGCAUUCCUGCCGACUGGACGGCGGGGCUAAUGCACCGGAUGGCCGGCGUUCUCGCCGGUGACCAAGCUGGGUUCUGCCCGGGCAGCAACGUUGUUCCGGAUCGUCGAGGGAUACACGGGGUCACACACACACACAGGUUUACACCCGCAACUCUAGUUUUAAGGACGCCAACUAGGUUUAAUUCGUCAAUAUAGAUGAUUAUGUGAUCAAUUCAAGAGAUCGCCAACGAUGGAAUAGUGUACACACACAAGAAUUGAUGAAAAGUGAUAAAUUUGAAACAUAAAACUGUAAAUAGAUCGUUUUGCUUGGGAUUAAUUUGAUUUUUCUCCCAGAUGUAGUUGAGGUUGAAGUGAUCAUGAGAAUUUUUGUAUAUAUUUUCAAUACGAGAAGUGAUGGGAGGAAAUGUUGUAUAUUUUGUACAUUUGUAUAUAUGAAUUUUUGGCUGUAAAUAAAUGAUGAAUUUGAACUUGCAUGAAUUUUAACUAUUUUAAGAAGAAAACAUAAAAAAGAGGAAGUUUUGCAGGAUGAAACCGGCCUCGCUGGAGACUUGAGUCCAAGACGAUGACGGUCAGUAAUAGGAUCUUGAUUGGAUCUCGAAUUCGGUCUUGAUAACCUGGAAACAGCGCUGAGUCACUGACGAUGACGCCCUAUGACCCCGAGGAGUAACGAUUUAUCGGAGGUUGAUUCUUGUCUGACUGAUUCUUACCAAAAAACAUUAGAACUUUUAGAAUUUUGCAUGAAUAUUUAUUAUUUUAAUUCUAGUAAAUGGUGGAUUUGAAAAUGAAGCAGGAUGA